CCCUUAGAUGUUCUGGGCCGCACACGCGCUACACUGAAGGAGGCAGCGUGUACUCCUGGAUCGAAAGAUUUGGGUAACCCGCGAAUCUCCUUCGUGCUAGGGAUUGAGGUUUGCAAUUAUCCUUCAUGAACGAGGAAUUCCCAGUAAGUGCAAGUCAUAAGCUUGCGCUGACUACGUCCCUGCCCUUUGUACACACCGCCCGUCGCUCCUACCGAUUUCGAGUGGUUCGGUGAACCUUUCGGACCGGCAAUGCCUCGUGUUGCGCCGGAAAGUCAAGUAAACCAUAUCACUUAGAGGAAGGAGAAGUCGUAACA
rnacentral:rRNA from 1 species